UACGUAGGGUCCGAGCGUUGUUCGGAAUUACUGGGCGUAAAGGGCUCGUAGGCGGCCAACUAAGUCGGACGUGAAAUCCCCAGGCUCAACCUGGGAACUGCGUCCGAUACUGGAUGGCUUGAAUCCGGGAGAGGGAUGCAGAAUUCCAGGUGUAGCGGUGAAAUGCGUAGAUAUCUGGAGGAAUACCGGUGGCGAAGGCGGCAUCCUGGACCGGCAUUGACGCUGAGGAGCGAAAGCCAGGGGAGCAAACGGG
rnacentral:rRNA from 1 species